rnacentral:rRNA from 1 species
UUUUCCGGUUGAUCCUGCCAGAGGUCACUGCUAUCGGGGUUCGAUUAAGCCAUGCGAGUCGAGAGGGUUCGACCCUCGGCGUACUGCUCAGUAACACGUGGAUAACCUGCCCUAGGGAAGGGGAUAACCCCGGGAAACUGGGGAUAAUACCCUAUAGGUUACAGAUGCUGGAAUGCUCUGUAACCCAAAGUUCCGGCGCCCUAGGAUGGAUCUGCGGCCGAUUAGGUUGUUGUUGGGGUAAUGGCCCCAACAAGCCAGUAAUCGGUACGGGUUGUGGGAGCAAGAGCCCGGAGUUGGAUUCUGAGACACGAAUCCAGGCCCUACGGGCGCAGCAGGCGCGAAAACUUUACAAUGCGGGCAACCGUGAUAAGGGAACCUCGAGUGCCUGUAAAUGCAGGCUGUUUAGGUGUUUAAAACGCACCUGGAGAAAGGGCCGGGCAAGACCGGUGCCAGCCGCCGCGGUAAUACCGGCGGCUCGAGUGGUGGCCACUUUUAUUGGGCUUAAAGCGUUCGUAGCUGGGUUGUUAAGUCUCUUGGGAAAUCUGGCGGCUUAACCGUCAGGCGUCUAAGGGAUACUGGCAAUCUUGGAACCGGGAGAGGUGAGGGGUACUUCGGGGGUAGGAGUGAAAUCCUGUAAUCCUCGAGGGACCACCUGUGGCGAAGGCGCCUCACCAGAACGGCUUCGACAGUGAGGGACGAAAGCUGGGGGAGCAAACCGGAUUAGAUACCCGGGUAGUCCCAGCCGUAAACUAUGCGCGUUAGGUGUAUCGGUGACCACGAGUUACCGAGGUGCCGAAGGGAAACCGUGAAACGUGCCGCCUGGGAAGUACGGUCGCAAGGCUGAAACUUAAAGGAAUUGGCGGGAA